rnacentral:rRNA from 1 species
UAGUCCACGCCCUAAACGAUGUAUACUCGGCGUUUGAUCUUCGGAUUGGGCGCCCAAGGGAAACCGUUAAGUAUACCACCUGGGGAGUACGUUCGCAAGAAUGAAACUCAAAGGAAUUGACGGGGGCCCGCACAAGCGGUGGAGCAUGUGGUUUAAUUCGAUGAUACGCGAGGAACCUUACCAGGGCUUAAAUGUAGUCUGACAGCUUUAGAGAUAGAGUUUUCUUCGGACAGAUUACAAGGUGCUGCAUGGUUGUCGUCAGCUCGUGCCGUGAGGUGUCAGGUUAAGUCCUAUAACGAGCGCAACCCCUGUGGUUAGUUGCCAGCGAGUAAUGUCGGGAACUCUAGCCAGACUGCCGGUGCAAACCGUGAGGAAGGUGGGGAUGACGUCAAAUCAUCACGGCCCUUACGUCCUGGGCCACACACGUGCUACAAUGGUAGGGACAGAGAGCAGCCACUUAGCGAUAAGGAGCGAAUCUAUAAACCCUAUCUCAGUUCGGAUUGGAGUCUGC